AAUAAAGCAGGCAGAAGUUGGGAAGAGCAGACUUGCUGAGUCUUCUGGCUUUCGUCUUUCUCCCACGCUGGAUGCUUUCCGCUCUCAAACAUCAGACUCCGUGUUCUUCAGCUUUUGGACUCUUGGGCCACAAGCAGUUUUCUUAGCUUCUGUUGACUCUGGCUAGAUUUUCAGAGUGAAGCCAGACCCAAUUUUCUGCGGGGCUGAAAUUUCACCAGAGGCGAGUUCAUUCAGAUUCCGGGUUAUUUACAUUUCCAGUCUGCAAUUUGAUCUGAUCAUCACUGGUUGAGGUGAAACAUCAAGAGCUUUACUAUCAUGUGGGCUGAGCUGGAUAACCCAUCCUGAAGGCUAUGGUAAAGCGGGGAGAAAUUGGGAGUCGGGAGAACAGUUGUUUUCUUUUUAUUUCUCAGCAGUAGAUUGGUAUGGAUGAGUUUCACAAACACCGUCUUUCAAAAGACAACUGAGAAAAGCUUGAAGAUUUUGCUGAAGAACCAAGAAGAGAGAAACACUUCCUGGCAUCCAAAACUGCCAGGGUGGAAAGGAAGGAAGAAUGGAAGGGGAGCAAAAAUGGCUUGUUAUGGGGCAGGCUGAGACAUGCCUAAGCAAAGGGAAGGGCUGCGGCAUUGCACUUCCAGUACUUUUUCCCUUCCUAAGUGGUGUAAAGAGCACCUGAAAAACUUCCAGAAUUGAUAAGAGAGUUUGCUACAAUGGUCAGAUACAAGAUAAAAUAUAUCAAAGUGAAUAAUUUUUCUACGUUUACCUAUUAGAAGAUCUGACACAAAGAAUACAUUUUCCAAUGUCUAUAAAAGACAUAAAAUAGCUAAUUAUCCUAUCAAGAAAUGUGCAGAGCAUACGUGAUAAAAACUGUAAAUCUUACUAAGAGGUAUUUUAAAAAUGGAAUAAAUGGAGAGACACAUAAUAUCAGUCAGGGUUCUGUCAGUGAAGGAGAACCAUUGAGUGCUGUAGAGUAAGAGAUUUAUCCAAUUGUGGAAACCCAGCAGAGAAGUCAAUGCUUGUCGUUUCUGCAUCUGGUGCUGGUGUCAUGUCAGUGGAACUGGAAAAUUGAAAAGAAAGAUGGUCUUAAGUUGGGGAGAAUAGGGACAAAAUGGAACCUGCAUCUUUCAUCACCUGCAGCCUCAAUGACACAGAUGAGAUGCAGGAUAAACUGGCACCCUUCACCAUGGGGAAUGCACCACAUGAACCCACCCUAGAUUUGGAGAAGCUGAAGGAGGAGAUUCUGCAUGAACUAGAGUAGCUGUGAAUCCAGCCACUGCUUCAUUUCCACCCUCCAAAUCUUGCAUAAAUUUCUCCUGUGACCAACCCUAACCAGAACCAUACAGAGGAGGAAAAUCUGAG
rnacentral:lncRNA from 1 species